CACACGUCAAUCACUUCAGCUGGGCCAAUGAGGGCAGCAGUACCCUCACCAGAAAUAGAAGGUGGGACCACCAGGCCAGUAUGUUGGAGCAGUUGUUUCCACCAGCGUUGGGACUUAUGAGGCUUGGGCAGGAGGACAGGAAUAGUACAAUCAGAUUCGGGAUAUCUGGCCUCCUGUUGAGGUCCUUAAAUCAUUUGAAGUUUAGUUUGUGCAGCUGAUAAGCAUGGAUCUAUCUGGAUUCUUCUACACACAGCCAUCCAGUUUCACCAGCACAAUUUGUUGAAAAUUUUUUUUGUUCAGUGUGUAUUUCUGACUUCUUUGUCAAAAAUCAAGUGUCUAUAUGUGUGUGGACUUAUGUCUGGGUCUUUAAUUCAUUUCCAUUGAUCAAUGUGUCUGUUUUAUUAAUAUCGUUACAUGCUGUGUUUAUUGCUACAGCUCUGUGGCACAAUGGGAGUCCUCUCUCCAGUAGCUUUUGUCGUUCAUGAUUGUUUUGGCUCUCAUGAUUGUGUAUGUGUGGUGCGUGGUUUGUGGUUUUCCAUAUGAAGCUGAAACUGUCCUUUCGAGAUUUGUGGAUUGUGUUUGGAAUUUUUUUAAGGGAUUGCAUUGAAUCUAUAGAUUACCUUUGGGAGGAUGCCCAUUGUCACUAUAUUCUACUGAUUGACCCAUGAGCAAGGGAGGCCCUUCCAUCUUCUGAUAGAAUCUUCAAUUUGUUCAGUGUCUUAGUUUUUAUUAUACAAGUCCUUCACUUGCUUUGCUGCAGUCAUCACAAUGCUUUUGAGGGUAUUGCAAAUGGUAUUGUUUUCCUAAUUUUUAAAUUUCUCAUUUGAGUAUAGGAGAGCUAUUGAUUUUUGUGUGUUUUGUAUCCCUGUAGGACUUCGCUGGAGGGAUUUUUAGGGUCAUGUUUAUAUAAAAUAUGUGCAGAUAAAGAUGCUUUGACUUCUUUUCCUUUGUAUCCUCUUGAUCUUGGUUUGUCUUAUUGCCCUAAGACUUCAAGUCUGUAUUGUAUACUAGAUGCAGAGAGAAUGCACAUCCUUGUUCACGAUUUCAGUGGAAAUGCUUUGAGUUUCUGCUCUUUAGGUUGAUGCUGACUAUGGCCUUGUGGUAAAUCAAAUUUAUUAUGAAGAAAUGUGUAUCUCUAUCCCUAGUCUCUCCAGAACUUGUAUCAUCCAGUGGUAUUGGAUUUUGUGAAAGGCCCUUUCUGGAUAUCUAAUGAGAUGAUCAUGUGAUUUUGCCUUUCUGUUUAUAUGGUGGAUUACAUUUGUUGAUUACAUAUGUUGAACCAUCCCUACAGCUCUGCAAUGAAGCCUACUUGAUCAUAGCGAAUGAUCUUUUUGUGUGUUCUUGAAUUCAGUUUGCAAGUGUUUUAUUGAGAACUUUUGCAUCUGUGUUCAUAAGGGAAGUUGGUCUGUAUUUUUAUUUUUGUUGGAUCUUUUUAUGGUUAGAACAGCAGAGUAUUAUGGUCUAAUGAAAAAAUUAGGCAAUGUUUCUUCUCUUUCUAUUUUAUGCCACAAUUUGAGGAGUAUUGGCAUUCCCCUUUGAAGUUCUGUUAGAAUUCUGUGCUGAAUCCAUCUGGCCUUGGGCUUUAUUUUGGUUAGGAAACUUUCAAUUACUACUACUAUUUUACUAGGUGUUGUGGGUCUCUUGAAAUUUAAGACUGAUCUUGAUUUAACUUUUGUUAGAUACAUAUAUCAAGAAAUUCAUCCAUUUCUUUUAUGUUUUCUAGUUUAGCGAAGUGCAGAGCUUCAAAGCAUGUCCUAUGAUUCUCUAGAUUCCAUGUCUGCUGUGAUGCCCCCUCCUCAUCUCUAGUUAUAUUAACUUGGAUCUUCUCUCUGUGUCUUUUAUUUGUCUAGGAGUUUAUCAACCUGAUUUUCUCAAAGAACCAACUCCAUCUCAUUAAUUUUUUUGUUUUAUUUCUUGCAAUCCACUCCUUUUUGGAUUUUUUUUUUGUGGUGCUAGAGCUUUUAGCCGUGCUAAUAUGAGUUCUCUCCAUUUUUUUUUUAAUGUAGGCAUUUAGUGCUAUGAACCUGCCUCUUACAACCUCCUUUACUGUGUCCCAUAGGUUUGGGAAUGUUAUGUUUUCAUUUGCCUUCAGUUCUAAACAGUUUUUUGAAAUCCUUAAUUUCAGUCCUGACUCAUUUUCAUGUAGUGAAUUGUUGAGUUUGCAUUAGUUUGAAAGUUGAUAUCCAGCUUUAAUCAGAUAUGAUGCAGGGUAUUUCAAUUUUCUUGUACCUGUUGAGCCUUGCUUUAUGUUCAAGUAUGAGGUCAGUUUGGGAGAACAUUCCAUGGACUUCUGAAAAGGUAUACUCUUCUGUGUUUGGGUGAAAUGUUUUGUAAAUAUGUGCUAUGUCCAUUCGAUAUGAGACAUUUGACUCAGCAUUUCUAUGUGUAGGGAUAAUCUCUUGUGCACUGUGUAGUCAGUAAAGAGCUGCAUGGGCUAUUGCAAGGCAGGAGAGAAUGGGGGACAUACGGCAGAGAGGAGGGAAGUCUGGGAAAGAGUCAGACAUGGGAGAUUCACUACCCAGACUCAAAGAAGUCAGAUUCCAAAACUGAGGAGAGGCACCCAGCCAUGUGGCAGAACUAAGAUUCCUAUAAACUUGAUAGUUACAAGCUAGUUGGAGAAUAGCUUAAGGCCCAGGCAUCAAUUCAUAAAUGAGCAUCCAUAUUAUUAUUCAGAGCUGGGGCAGACAUAGAAAGUCACGAAUGGUUACAUCUGUUUAGUUUUUGUUUGGAUGACCUGUAUAUUAACAAGACAAGGGAAGUCACCUGUUAUCACUGUGUGAGAGUCAAUAUAUGCUUUUCGCUGAAGUGGUGUUUCUUUUAUGGCCUCAGAUGACCUUAUGUUUGGUGUGUAAAUGUUUAGAAUUGCAAUAUCCUCUUGGUGCGUUUUCCCUCUGAGUAUGUAAUGUCCUUCCCUAUCUCUUCUGAUUAGUUUUGGUUUGAGGUCUAUUUUGUCAGAUAUUAAAAUGGCUGCACUAGUUUGCUUGCUGGGUCCAUUUGCUUGGAGUAUUGUUUUCCUUCUUUUACCCAGAGACAGUAUCUAUCCUUGACUGUCAAGUGUGUUUCUUGGAGGCAGCAAAAGAUGGAUCUUGUUUUCAUUUUGUUAACGUGUAAUUUUUUGUUCUGGUAGUGUGUAUCUUUUCACUGGGGAACUGGGACCAUUGCUAUCAGUGAGCAGUGUAUUGAUCCCCAUUACUUGUUGUUAUGGAGUGGGUUCCCCCACCAUGCUCUUUCAAUUCGAAGGGUAUGAAGUUAUUUAUUCCUUGUGUUUUCUUGCAUGUAGUUAACCUCUUCAGAUUCUAGUUUUUCUUCUAUCACCUUCUGUAGAGCUGCAUUUGUGGGUAAAUACUGCUUAAAUUUAGUUUUAUCAUGAAAUGUUUUUCUUUCUGUAUCUAUUGCGAUUGACAGUUUUUCUGUUUAUAAAUUUCAGGCUGGCAUACAUAGUCUAGAGUGUUAAAAAUCUGUCCAGGCCUUUCUGGAUUUUAGAGUCUCCAUUGAGAAGUCUGGUGUUAUUCUAAUAGGUCUGCCUUUACAUAUUGCUUUGUCUUUUUCCCUUGCAGCUUUUUACAUAUUCUUUCUUUUUCUAUACAUUUAGUAUCUUGAUUAUUGUAUGUCUGCCAUGAGGAAUUUCCUUGCUGACCCUGUUUGGUGUUCUGUAGCUUCUUGAGCUUGGAUAGGCACCUCCUUCUCUAGAUUGAGGAAUUUUCUUCUAUGAUUUUGUUGAAAAUAUUUUCUGUGCCUUUGACCUGAGUUUCUUCUCCUUUAUUUCUAUUAUUCAUAGACUUGGUCUUCUUAUAGUGUCCCAGAUUCCUGGAUGUUUUGUGCCUAGAAUUUUUUUUUAACAUUUCCUCUAUCAUUUCUUCUGUCUUGUCUUCAACACAUGAGAUUCUCUCUUCCACCUCUUGUUGCUAAGGGCUACCGCUGAGGUUUUUGUUUUAUUUUCUAAACGUUUUAUUUCUAGCUUUACCUCAGUCUUACUUUUUCUCAGUGAUUCCAUCUCUUAGUUAUAUUUGCAUGUCAUUGAUUCCAUUGCUCCGUUAUUUCAUUUAACUGUCUUGUUUUCACAGACUUAAGGGAUUCAUUUGUACUUUUUCUAAGGUCCUUGAACGUAUGCAUAAUAGCUAUUGUGAAGUCCUUGUCUUGAGCUUCAGCUACAUUGCAUUCCUCAGGGCCUGCUGCAGUAGAGUUGCUAGCUUCUGGUGGAGCCAAACAGUCCUGUUGGUGUUUGUGUUAUUGCAUCGGUGUCUAGGCAUCUGGGCUAGGGAUGAUUGAGGCGAUUCUAGGUGACUACACCUGGUCUAGUCUUGGUUGAUUGGGUAUUCUAUUCUUUGGUUACCACUGGCGCCUCAGGGGGUCCUGGGAGAGUGUGGUGGGCUGUAGGUUGCCUGGUAGGGAGUGCUUAUGCAGCUUGGGGCGGGUGGCAGAGAGGAGUAGAGGUGGACUAAGAGAAGUCUGAGAGGGGCUUCCGGAAGAGCUAAAGGGAUCCUGUCCACAUCUGGAGGUACACAGUGAGUUGGAGAUGUGGUGGGAAGAGAGGAUCCUAAGAGUAGGUUACGGUAAAGCAAAGAGUUAUCUGGAGAGACAGGCAUGCUGGGGCUGGGGAAUUCCUGGGUCUGAAGCAAGAGUGGAAGGAGUCUCCAGUGAAGUGGGAGGAGUCUCCUGUGAAUGACGUGAAAGUGGGAGGAGGGUCACUGGCAAGCGAGCUGAGCUAUUACUAGGCUGUGGGUGAGAAAGAAGGGUAGGAAGGAGAGUGUGAGUCGCUGGCAGGUGGGUGCCAGGGUCCCAGGUAGAAAGUGUUUCUAGGUACUGGGACUGACAUGAAGGAAUGGGGAUGGGUGAGGGGAUGCUGAGAGGCUUUGCUGGAAGGAGGAAAGCUGGCUCUACUCCAAGUUGUCCUGACCUUCACUCCUGCACCAUGACAGGAGCACACACAUUAAACAAAAACGUAAUAUAAAAAAUUUUUUUCUUUUUAAUUUUAUGUAUAUAUAUAUAUAUGUAUACAAAGAGAAUUCGUGUCUAAAGUGCUACCUUGCUUUAAAAUGUAGCAUCCAAUUUCCUCUCCACUCCUCUUCUCCACUGAAUCUUUUCUUGCACUACAAUGAGCAUGGACCCGAGAGGCUUAAGAGGGUUGUAUGCCUCCAUCUCUGGUUACUAUGGUUACCACAGUAAAAUGCCUAAAGAAAGCAGCUUUAUAGGAAAAUGCUUGUUUAGCUCACAGCUUUGGAGGCUCAAUGAUCACAUCUUGAGUGGGUGGCACCAUGGGGCCACCCUCUGGAGAUGGUGUGGUGGCAGGGGGCACGGCGGCAGCAACUCUUCUAAAAGUAACAAAGCAAAGAGCAGGGUAGAGCCUGACUUGCUCUUUCUAUAACAGCCCUUGGCUGAGAACCAGCCUGGGGCCCUCAACAAGCCCCUCCCUCCCUGUAGUCUCACUAAAAGGAUGCUGUGCCUGUCUGUUUAUUGCAACCUAGAAACCAGUUGUCUUGCGCACCGCUGCCUAAAACACCGCCCGUUAAUAAUUAAAUGAGUCAGACACCCCCUGACACAUUUUCACAGUACUUUGUCUGCCCAAAGAAGUCCAGGAACUUUGCAUAGGAGGUGAAGGUUGGUAUCAGAUAAGUAGGGGGAGUCGAAAUGAAAACUAAUUCCAAACCAUUUUUCACUUAGAUACUCUCCUGGUGUGGAGAGCAAAAGGCCUGUUUCAGAGAGGGAUGAAUAGUUCAAGGGCAGGAAGAUGAACAUCAAGGCCCAAUCUGCAGGCCAGAAGAGUCAAAAUAAAAAGGCAAAAUUAGGUGUGGAAAGGAAAGGGAGGGGAAGCAGAGGAGUGUUUGCAAUUCUGAAUCUAAGACCAUUUUAAUUUUAAAGUCAUUGGGGGCGGGAGAUAGCGUGUAUGCUGUGAUUGCAUGGGCAGAAGUCAGAAUAAACCUGGAAGGAGUUUAUUGGUUCCUCCUACCAUGUGGGUCCCGGGCAUCCAACUCAGGAUGUGAGACUUAGCAGAAAGCAACAAGCUGAGUCACAUCACUGGCCCUUGGGGCCAUUUUCUAAGCAACACACCGAGCAACACAUACUUUUUAUUCAUUCCACAAAUAGAAGUUAAACACCUCCUUUGGGGUGUAGGUAAUUCAGGACAAGCCUGGUUUGGCAGUCUUGUCCUUAGUUGGCGCCUAGUGUGUGUCCUAGGUGUGUCAGGACUGUCAGGAUGACAGUAUCUCACCGUCCUUGUCCUCUCUCUUGUCUAGGUAGCAGGGGUUACCUGCUCAGGGCAGAGACAGAUGGGAAAUUUCUGUCAUCAUUAAGGUUUUAUUGACCAGCGCGGCUGGAAUUUCCCAGAGAGAGGAAUUAAUCUCGCUACCGACUGAGAGCAGACAUCCUGCUGGGAGUAGUUACAUAAAUUCUGUUGCUCAAAUUAAUUAGGAUUGUGAUUCAUUUGUUUAAUGAAGAAUCUGAUGGCGAGAGGCAAGGCAGCCUCGCCUUGCGGAGCUCAUCCAAUCCCGGGUGACAGUGCGGCAGAUGGGGUGGGACCAGGCCUGGAGCUGGCCGCUGAUGGGCAGAGACAACCAACCAGAAUGCAGAGCUGAAGGAGAAGCCAGUCGGAGCUGCUGCUGUUCCCACCGAAGCUGGUGGCUGGAGGGACUCAGGCUCCCAGCCUGAAAAGCUUUCCGGGCUUCGUCCAGAGGCUUCCGGCCUCCUGCUUCCCAUGUGUGGAACAACUGUGUACAGCUGAAAAACACACGCCUCAUUAGCACUCCCGACCGACCGGUUCACUCGUUUCCUCCAGCCACCCCCAAAUGCCCCCAGACUUUAAGCUUUUGGAGCACAAAGUCAGAGCAGAUAGAGCACCGGCCUAUCCCACCUGCUUAGGAAUGACUCCUCCCUCUACCCUGAGUUCCAUAUGGGAGGACAGCCCGUUCCUCAGUCGCCUCCGGGAGCAUCUUCUCCCGUUUCUGUGAGCCUGGCUCUCAGCAGCAGUUGUAGAGGUAAGAAACAGGUAGGUGGCCAUAGAAAGGUAGCCCCGGUGAGGAUGGAGAGACGCAGGAACUGCGCAACCCCAGGGGACAGUGAUUGAUUGAUUGAUACUCCAUGUAGAUAACAUCUUUGGGAUGGAUGAGAUUAAAAGGGUGCUUCCUGGUAUCCCUAGAGAAAAGUUCAGGUCAGAUGUUUUGAGUGAGUUUGAAGGAUUUGUUGAAGUGGAUGCUGGGGAAGAAGAGAAGAAUCAGGUGAGCUUUGGGACUUUAUUGAUGCCACAUCUGCAAGAGUCCUCCCUGGGAGCCAUGUUUUCUUUCUAGAUGUCCCCACUUCUUAUUGGGACUGACUGAGAAAGCCACGAGUCAGACCCAACGAGACUUUUCUUGAAUCAGAACUAUUACAAGGGCAUGUGUCCUGCCAUGUCCCCGACACUACCUACCGAGAAGCCUCCCCUGGAACUCAGUUAUAGCUCACUUUAAAAGAAGCACUGAUCCAGAAUCCAAAACGGAAUGAACUCUGCUACAAAUGCUCCAAGGAUGAGGUAGUUCUCAUGUAACCCUGAGGUGGUUCUUGUGAGAGGGUUGUUAGAAAACAGUCUGGCUGUGGUAUCAUUCUACCUUGUCCUAUGGUCCCCUCAAUACAUUCUUGCCAAUGAGAUGUCAUCUACCACGAAGCCUUCACCAGACCCAGCCUGUGGCUGGCACCAGGCCCUUGAACCUUCAGAACUGUGAGCUGCUCAAAAAGUUAUCCAACACCAAACACUUUCUUAUAGUGCUAUAAAGUGAACCGAUACCACAUACAGCAUUGGUGGCUAGGGGUGCAGAGAUGAAAGACAGACUCCAACAUUGAGGUUGGCCAAACAGAACUAAGCAGGGUUUCUGGACAAGAGCGGCAGGAUCAGAUCUGAGAUGAUGAAUUUGCUUGGAGAAUGGAGGCUGGAAAUGGUCAGGAAGCUGUUAGAAUAGUACUACAGUAAAUGGUAUUUUAGAAAUAACAAAAUAACUCAGAAUUACAAAUUAAGGGCUCUGCUUCUAAAAUGUCACCUUGUGUUCUUCAGAAGGGACAAACAUCUUUCUGCAGCCUGUGUAUUUGUAUUAUCACAAAACUAAGGUUAUCGUCCUGACAUCUAGAAUCACCUAGGCAACAAGCCUCUUGGCAUGCCUUGUAGAAGUCUCUUAAUUGAGUUCAUUAACAUGGGAAGUCCUGCCCAUUAUGGGUGGCGACAUUCCCUGUGUCCAAGACUAUAUUAAAAGGAUGUGAGCUGAGACUAAUCAUUCCAUUUCUUGACUGUGGGUGGAUUGUGACCAGCUGCCUCAAGCUCCUGCCAUGUGACUUCACCAUGAGAGACUCUGUGAGCCAAAAUGAGCCUUUUAAGUUGUUUUAUCAGGAAACCUGAGCAACAGGAAAGAAGUUAAGACAACUAAGGACCUUAGUUAAGGGCACAAAACUUGAGAGGAGGGGAAAACCGCUAAGGAGCUGAGAUCCUUGCCCUUGGACCCUCUGUCUAGGAUAGCCUGGCCUCCGAUCCUAAGAAGUGGCCAGUUCUUUGCAACUGCCCCCUGCCCCAGAAUGUAAAAUUUCAGCGUUGGCAGAUACCCAGGCACCCAGUCACCAAUGUCUCAGCAGGGAGCAGGCCUCUGUUCUAACAGAUGACUGAAGAUGCUCAGUGGACUACUUACAGAGCUGUGCAGGACGGAGGAUGCCAAGGAGGAUGCCAGGAAAGCUGGACACUGCGGAAAGCACCAAAGGCUACAGGAGUGUUGCUGGGCCAGGAGAGGAAGGCCAGGGGUGGGUAGAAGAGCUGUGUGCAGGAGCCAAAAGGCAAAGAGCAUCCCAACCCCGCCCCUUUCCUUCCCUCCCUCCCCUGCCUCCUUCUCUCCUGCCCCCUACCAGUGCCUCUCAGUGGCCAAACCACACUGGAGCCAACCAGUAGGGAACCUCUUGAUUUUUCUACAAGGUCAGCUUUCUAAGGCACAGGGCAAGGCAAAAGAGGGGAGAUCUCAUCCUGAGAAAGGCAGAAAGCAAGCUCAGAGCAGAGGCAGCUUGCCUUUGUGGGGCAAGUCAGGAAAAGGCCUGCAGCCCCUCUCUCUCCCUUGAGUGAAGUCUCACAGAAUGGAAGCAGCUCAGGCAGAGGGAGUAGCUGAGAAAGGACGGUGAGCAGCUCUGAGGAAGAUGGCAUCCACUGACUGCAUGAAGAAGGGCAUGGAUGCUGCAUCCACUGACUGCAUGAAGAAGGGCAUGGAUGCUGCAUCCACUGACUGCAUGAAGAAGGGCAUGGAUGCUGCAUCCACUGACUGCAUGAAGAAGGGCAUGGAUGCUGCAUCCACUGACUGCAUGAAGAAGGGCAUGGAUGCUGCAUCCACUGACUGCAUGAAGAAGGGCAUGGAUGCUGCUUCCCUAUUGCUUCAUGGUCUACUUGAUCACUGCUCCUGACUCAUUUCCCCAAAUAUGGGGACAAAAACACAGACCAAAGGCUGACAGAGACAGUUGCCUGAGGCUGCUUCCUAAUCCAGCAUAAGAUGGUUUAAUUGGAGUCCUUACCAGUAAUGUUGCAGAAAGGCAACACCUUUAGUCUGCUGGGAGCCUCGAGGAAACAGGAGAGGGAACUGGAACGCCCAGACAGCAAGUGCAUUAAGAUGACAGCUGUUGGAAAAGAGCUGAGACCGAGAAACCAGGGAACCCUGGAUUCAGUCAAGUCUCUGCCUCUCCGGGCUGCUCUGUCCUUGUCAAAGCCAAGGAAGUGCCUGGACCAUGCCUACAUCUCCUGCCAUCCCACUCCACUCCCACUGCAGUCUCCCAGGUAGUUGCUUUCCAGACCACCAGGCAACUCGGGCUUCGUUCUUGCUGCUCUCUCCUGUAAUGCCCUCCACAUCCCCACGAGACCCCUCCUCCCAUUGUCCUUAAGCUCGUUGGAGCCACCUCCAUCCGUUGAAUGUCCCAUCAUGAUGGACACCUGGUCUCCCUUCUCUCACCCCCCACCCCCGACUUAACUUCUCUUGUAGAUACAAGGCAGGAACUGUGUUUUCUCUUUCUCACCUACCAGGCCCCACUGUGAUCAGGUGAUGAGAGGAAACAGCAGGGUGGAGAGAGAAGCUUGGUGGGCACAGCCAGGCACAGCAGGCGCUGAUAAGAUGCCAGCUCCUCUCCAGCCCUGAGCUCCCUCCCAGCUAAUUAGAAUGGAGCAUCCAUCAUGCACUUGUAUCUUUAGCAUGGGACACAGCCUCCCCAGGGCCUGGGCCCAGCUGGCUCUCUGCUCAGACUCAUAAACUUGUAACUGACUCAGUAGCAGAGGACAUAGGAGCCGUGCUGUGAAAUCAUAAAACGAGCAUCAGAAAGAAUCUUAUCAUUUGGAGAGAGUGAGGUCCUUGAGCUCCCAGUCUAAGACAUGGCACUCUGCAGCUUCCUCCUGGGUAUCUUGGCCCGUUCAUCUCAGAACCCAAGUGUCACGUGAUGAGAAACCCAGGCCAUGGGAGAAGCUAUGCCUAGAUACCCUGGGUGACACCAUCAGCUGCCAGCCACAUCAUCCAAAGAAAGGACUGUCUUGGACAGCCAGCCCCCAAAGCCUUCAGAUGACUCCAGACCCCAGCCACUGCCUGGCAUAGCCACACAACAGACACAGAACUGCCCAGUGAAGUUCAGCUGACCCGUGAAACUGCACAGGAUAAUAUUUUACGCUGCUAGAAGCUCCUUGCAUAUAGAUGCCACUUUAGAGAGGAGCAGCUGCCACCACAACUGUGAUGUGGCUCACUGAAAGCCUUGGGGACAGUGAAAGGUGGAGCCUGGUGCAUUUAACUGCAGUCACCCUACCCCACCCCCCAAAAAGGUGGAGAAGUGAGCUGCCCAGAGCAGAAGAGGAGAGAGGGAAAGAUGAAUUUCGUAAAAAUAGAUCCC
rnacentral:lncRNA from 1 species